CUUCUCAUGGCUGACCAAGACUCACCUCUGGACCUUACUGUCAGAAAGUCUCAGUCAGAACCUAGCGAACAAGACGGUGUACUUGAUCUGUCCACUAAGAAAAGUCCAUGUGCUGGCAGCACUUCCCUGAGCCACUCUCCAGGCUGCUCCAGUACUCAAGGGAACGGUGGAUGACAAUCGAGCAGCAGAAGAAUGGUGUGCCUACCCUUUAAUGCUGCAGUUUAAGAGAACUUGUAUUGUGUCAUUUCAGAUUGUAGGCUGAGAGUUGUAA
rnacentral:sRNA from 1 species